ACGCUCGACACCUACGGGAGGCAGCAGUGGGGAAUAUUGCACAAGUGGGGGAAACCCUGAUGCAGCACGCCGCGUGAAGGAAGAGUUGNUGUAAUUNUAACUUCUAGUGAAGANAGGAAGAAACGUGACGUAACGNGACAAGACCGACCCGGCUAACUACGUGCCCAGCAGCCGCGGUAAUCGUGGAGCGGGCUGGCAAGGC
rnacentral:rRNA from 1 species